CUCGCGCCUGCGCUGUGCAGGCGGCGGAGGCCGUUGGCAUCACGUGCUCGGUCGCUCGAGCCAUCCGGGGUUGACAGACUUGGCUGGAAGGGAAAGGCGCGCCUUCAAUCUCUGGACCUAGCCUAUUAUUCAUCAUCAAGAAGUGUUCCAGUAAGAACUUCUAUCAGGUUAAUCUGUAAGCAUUAUCAACAUGACCAUCACAACAAUAAUCAAAACAGAGCUACAAGUGAAUUGUGUGUUCCUGGAGCUCCAACCUGACCUGCAAAGUCCAUCCAGACCCCACAGAUAAUCAUGGACACAAGAGCAAAACCUGUUUGGUGAGUCCUCCCAGCAGAGUUUAUGUUAAGGUUAUGUUUUUAUUAUGACCUUUUUGUAUUGGAUCAGAUUACUGUAAGGUGUGUGAUCUUUGUUGUAUA